rnacentral:misc_RNA from 1 species
UUUCCGUAGGUGAACCUGCGGAAGGAUCAUUGUCGAAACCUGCCCAGCAGAACGACCCGCGAACUUGUAUAAACAACUGGGGGCGGGGGGCGUUCUCGCCCCGUGCCCCCGAACGGCGGGGAGACACUCGAGCCUUCUUGCCGAACCACGAACCCCGGCGCGGUCUGCGCCAAGGAACUUCAACUAAAGAGUGCCUCCGGUCGCCUCGGAAACGGCGUGCGUGCCGGAGGCGAAUCUUGUGCAAAACCAUAACGACUCUCGGCAACGGAUAUCUCGGCUCUC